GUGAAGCCAAGCUUGCUUGGUGGAUCAGUGGCGAACGGGUGAGUAACACGUGAGCAACCUGCCCUGGACUCUGGGAUAAGCGCUGGAAACGGCGUCUAAUACUGGAUAUGAGCUCUCAUCGCAUGGUGGGGGUUGGAAAGAUUUUUCGGUUUGGGAUGGGCUCGCGGCCUAUCAGCUUGUUGGUGAGGUAAUGGCUCACCAAGGCGUCGACGGGUAGCCGGCCUGAGAGGGUGACCGGCCACACUGGGACUGAGACACGGCCCAGACUCCUACGGGAGGCAGCAGUGGGGAAUAUUGCACAAUGGGCGCAAGCCUGAUGCAGCAACGCCGCGUGAGGGAUGACGGCCUUCGGGUUGUAAACCUCUUUUGGUAGGGAAGAAGCCUUCGGGUGACGGUACCUGCAGAAAAAGCGCCGGCUAACUACGUGCCAGCAGCCGCGGUAAUACGUAGGGCGCAAGCGUUAUCCGGAAUUAUUGGGCGUAAAGAGCUCGUAGGCGGUCUGUCGCGUCUGCUGUGAAAUUCCGAGGCUCAACCUCGGGCUUGCAGUGGGUACGGGCAGACUAGAGUGCGGUAGGGGAGAUUGGAAUUCCUGGUGUAGCGGUGGAAUGCGCAGAUAUCAGGAGGAACACCGAUGGCGAAGGCAGAUCUCUGGGCCGUUACUGACGCUGAGGAGCGAAAGGGUGGGGAGCAAACAGGCUUAGAUACCCUGGUAGUCCACCCCGUAAACGUUGGGAACUAGUUGUGGGGUCCUUUCCACGGAUUCCGUGACGUAGCUAACGCAUUAAGUUCCCCGCCUGGGGAGUACGGCCGCAAGGCUAAAACUCAAAGGAAUUGACGGGGACCCGCACAAGCGGCGGAGCAUGCG
rnacentral:rRNA from 1 species